UUCAGGAAGGGGAGGGGAGGGGAGAGUGGCUUGUGGAGAGCUUGCAACUUUGUAUCUGCUUGAACAACCUCUCCAGUCGGAUGAAUCAAAGGCUUAAAGACAGCCCAGGAUUCGGAGAGGGAUGAUGGAUGGAGAUGGGAGGAGACUAAAAAUCUCCCAUUUCCUAAUGGACAAGUCAGACGCUGAAAGCUGGAAGGAAUUGAAUCAAGAUGAAAUGACAGAAGACGUCUGCAGAGAGGAAAGGAAACAAGACGUUCGAAGGACUCAGGUGCAAACGGAAGCAUUACUGUGCUCAGUCAGCAAACAGGCAACCUCCGGGCAUCCCCAAGUCCUGUCCCAGGUUUGUGAUAGACCCUGGUCUCACCCCAGGGGGCGAUGUGGAG
rnacentral:lncRNA from 1 species